UCCGGCUUAAACGCCGGCAGUUUCGUUUGACACUUGUAACAAACGAUAGGGGUUGCGCUCGUUUUCACACUUAAGUGAACACCUCACGGCACGAGCUGACGACAACCGUGCAGCACCUGUGUAGCACCCUCGAAGGCUAUCUCAUCUCUGAGAUAUGCAGCUACAUGUCAAGCCUUGGUAAGGUUCCCCGCUUACCAUCGAAUUAAACCGCAUGCUCCACCGCUUGUGCGGGUCCCCGUCAAUUCCUUUGAGUUUUAGCCUUGCGGCCGUACUCCCCAGGCGGUACAUUUAACGCGUUAGCUUUGGCACUAAAGAGGGUCGAUACUCUCUAGCACCUAAUGUACAUCGUUUACAGCGUGGACUA
rnacentral:misc_RNA from 1 species